rnacentral:rRNA from 1 species
UGGGGAAUAUUGGACAAUGGGCGCAAGCCUGAUCCAGCCAUACCGCGUGGGUGAAGAAGGCCUUCGGGUUGUAAAGCCCUUUUGUUGGGAAAGAAAAGCAGCCGGCUAAUACCCGGUUGUUCUGACGGUACCCAAAGAAUAAGCACCGGCUAACUUCGUGCCAGCAGCCGCGGUAAUACGAAGGGUGCAAGCGUUACUCGGAAUUACUGGGCGUAAAGCGUGCGUAGGUGGUUGUUUAAGUCUGUCGUGAAAGCCCUGGGCUCAACCUGGGAACUGCGAUGGAAACUGGGCGACUAGAGUGUGGUAGAGGGUAGCGGAAUUCCUGGUGUAGCAGUGAAAUGCGUAGAUAUCAGGAGGAACAUCCAUGGCGAAGGCAGCUACCUGGGCCAACACUGACACUGAGGCACGAAAGCGUGGGGAGCAAACAGGAUUAGAUACCCUGGUAGUCCACGCCCUAAACGAUGCGAACUGGAUGUUGGGUGCACUUUGGCACGCAGUAUCGAAGCUAACGCGUUAAGUUCGCCGCCUGGGGAGUACGGUCGCAAGACUGAAACUCAAAGGAAUUGACGGGGGCCCGCACAAGCGGUGGAGUAUGUGGUUUAAUUCGAUGCAACGCGAAGAACCUUACCUGGCCUUGACAUGCUGAGAACUUUCCAGAGAUGGAUUGGUGCCUUCGGGAACUCAGACACAGGUGCUGCAUGGCU